rnacentral:rRNA from 1 species
AUUGAACGCUGGCGGCAUGCCUUACACAUGCAAGUCGAACGGUAACAGGUCUUCGGAUGCUGACGAGUGGCGAACGGGUGAGUAAUGCAUCGGAACGUGCCCAGUAGUGGGGGAUAGCCCGGCGAAAGCCGGAUUAAUACCGCAUACGACCUGAGGGUGAAAGCGGGGGAUCGCAAGACCUCGCGCGAUUGGAGCGGCCGAUGUCAGAUUAGCUAGUUGGUGGGGUAAAGGCCUACCAAGGCAACGAUCUGUAGUUGGUCUGAGAGGACGACCAGCCACACUGGGACUGAGACACGGCCCAGACUCCUACGGGAGGCAGCAGUGGGGAAUUUUGGACAAUGGGCGCAAGCCUGAUCCAGCAAUGCCGCGUGCAGGAAGAAGGCCUUCGGGUUGUAAACUGCUUUUGUCAGGGAAGAAAUCCUCUGGGUUAAUACCUCGGGGGGAUGACGGUACCUGAAGAAUAAGCACCGGCUAACUACGUGCCAGCCGCCGCCGUAACAC